GACGGAGGGGGCUAGCGUUGUUCGGAAUUACUGGGCGUAAAGAGUGCGUAGGUGGUCUAGUAAGUUGGAAGUGAAAGCCCGGGGCUUAACCUCGGAAUAGCUUUCAAAACUACUAAUCUAGAGUGUAGUAGGGGAUGAUGGAAUUCCUAGUGUAGAGGUGAAAUUCUUAGAUAUUAGGAGGAACACCGGUGGCGAAGGCGGUCAUCUGGGCUACAACUGACACUGAUGCACGAAAGCGUGGGGAGCAAACAGG
rnacentral:rRNA from 1 species